AGGUGAGUAGCUCAACUGGCUAGAGCAUCGGUCUCCAAAACCGAAGGUUGCGGGUUCGAGUCCUGCCUCACCUG
rnacentral:tRNA from 2 species